rnacentral:rRNA from 1 species
UACGGAGGAUCCAAGCGUUAUCCGGAUUUAUUGGGUUUAAAGGGUGCGUAGGUGGCCUGUUAAGUCAGGGGUGAAAGACGGUAGCUUAACUAUCGCAGUGCCCUUGACACUGAUGGGCUUGAAUGAACUAGAGGUAGGCGGAAUGUGACAAGUAGCGGUGAAAUGCAUAGAUAUGUCACAGAACACCAAUUGCGAAGGCAGCUUACUAUGGUUUUAUUGACACUGAGGCACGAAAGCGUGGGGAUCAAACAGG